ACGGCCCGGGAGGAGUGGGACCGUCCCCGGGCAGAGCAGCGCCUCGCGUCAGUCCGCUCCUCCGCUCCGUCCCUGCUUUUAUGUCGGCUUUCCCACUGCUGCGCCGUUAUAUGUUGUCAUCUUCCGACCUAUUUAUUUACCUGCAGGACAGAAACACGGCCCAGGCAGGAUUCAAUUGAUUUGCUAAUAAGAGGCAAAGCGACACAUCCAAACGGCCAGGAAUUUUCAGAAGUGGGAUUCAUUUGCAGUCUCUGAUAGAAGAACGGAAGCAGAAAUGGAUCGAACAGUGCACCAAAGUUGCACUGUGUCACCUGAACAGCUCUGCUCCAUUUAUCCCGAAUGUGUGCGCACUAUCUGUUGGAGCACCGUAACGAAUAUUUACUGUACUACACUGAAGGUUUCACUGUGUGAAAAGUUUUAGGAUCUUAAAAACACCCAUAGUACGGAUUCAUUAUCAGGUACAGCACCUAAGGUUUCCUCUACCAAUGUCCAACAACAUAAUAUUUCCUACUUGUAUGUUCCUUUCCUUUCCUUUCCUUUCCUUUCCUUUCCUUUCCUUUCCUUUCCUUUCCUUUCCUUUCCUUUCCUUUCCUUUCCU